UACGAAGGGGGCUAGCGUUGCUCGGAAUCACUGGGCGUAAAGCGCACGUAGGCGGCUUCUUAAGUCAGGGGUGAAAUCCUGGAGCUCAACUCCAGAACUGCCUUUGAUACUGAGGAGCUUGAGUCCGGGAGAGGUGAGUGGAACUGCGAGUGUAGAGGUGAAAUUCGUAGAUAUUCGCAAGAACACCAGUGGCGAUGGCGGCUCACUGGCCCGGUACUGACGCUGAGGUGCGAAAGCGUGGGGAGCAAACAGG
rnacentral:rRNA from 1 species